rnacentral:misc_RNA from 1 species
CUGACCACAAUUAGAAAACCAAGGCAUGGAAUAAUUUUCAGCCACAUUUUGGACCAAAAAAAUGUUAGAAAAAUAUUGUUUCAGCUUAGGGAGGUGGGGAUGGCUUAGGAGGGGUAGAAAUUUUGUGGGAAAAAGGCACUAUUCGACAAUAAUAAAUAAGAUUUAAAAAAAAAAAUCAAAAGCAAGAGGCUGAACCAAUGGAUGUGUUGCAUUUACUGCUGCAUAAACUUGGGCAGCAACACAAUUUUGGCACUCUCUUUUUAU